CACUGUCAGCAGUGCUAACAGCCUCACAGCUUUCUAAGUAGACCCAGAUGACACUUAACCAGAAUAAAGCUAAGAGUCUGUUUUUUCCUAACCCUUUCAUGACAGACAUCAAGAGCAAAAGCGGCAGCAGGAAAGCAGACAUAACAACUCUGCGACAUGGAGAAGAUGUGUGAUAAUCAUAUCACUCCCUCUGAAGAACUGUCUUCAAACAGUUCAGUUGUCAUGGGAAUUCACCAGUGCAAGAAAAGGAGAGCGGAGGGGGCUGGGCCAACUCUAUUCCACAUCACUGUUCCAUGGCUGCUUUCAAAAAGGUCAGAGAAAUGAACUCAUACUGCAGAGGAACGGAGCCAGAGCCUUGCAGACCACUGAGGGCAUCCAAAGACAGGGUGGCAGAGGCAGGGAGGAGUCAGCUGAGGUGGCUCUGGCACCUGUUCCGGAUUCCCCUUGGACACCUCCCUCGUGAGGUGUUCCAGACAUUUCCCAACAGGAGGAGGCCCAGAGGAUGCCUCAGGACACACUGGAGAGGCUGCCUUUCAGCUGAGAACACCUCGAGCUGGAGGUAGUGGAUGGGGAGAGAGAAGUCUGGGGGUCUCUGCUGGGACUGCUGCCUCCAUGACCUGGUUCCGGAUAAGAGGAAGACGACGACGACAAAUAAAAAGCAAAACACAAAACAAACAAAACACAUUUUAAUAUCAUAAAUAAUGUAAAUGAAGCUUUAAUAACCAAUAUAUUAUACCUACGUGAAAUAAGUUUUUAAGAGAUAACUAGUUUAAAUGUCUGUGGUUCGUUUAUUUAAAUAAGCAAUUUGAUCAGUGUUAAAUCAUCCCUUUGUUUUAAUGCUUAUCAUAAAAUCAUUAUUUUGGCUCAAUGCUUUAUGAGAAAAUAUGUUGUGAUAUUAUACAGCUACAACA